UGGGGCGUAGCCAAGCGGUAAGGCAGCGGUUUUUGGUACCGUCAUGCGCAGGUUCGAAUCCUGCCGCCCCAGCCA
rnacentral:tRNA from 1 species